ACCAAACGAGGCAAUGAUGCCAAGGACAAUGUGUUAGGGCUCUCCAGAGAAACAAAACCAACAGGAGAGAGAGAGACAGAAAUAGAGAGAGAAAGGGAGAGAUUUAUUAUGAAGAACUAGGUCAUGUCAUUACAGGGGCUGGGAAGUUCCACAGUCCACCAUCGGCCAGCUAGAGACCCAGGAUUACCUGUUGUGUAGCUCCAGUCUGAGCUAGAGGCCUGAGAACCGGCAGAAUUGAUGGUGUAAGUCCCAGUCCAAGUACAGGAGAAGACCGAUGUCCUGGCUUGACAGCAGUCAGGCAGAGAGAACAAUGCUCCCUUACCCCACCUUUUGUCCUAUUCAGGCCUCAGUGGCUUCGAGGAGGCCCACCCACUCUGGGGAGGGACAACUGCCUUGCUCAGUCUACAGAUUCACGUGUUAAUCUCAUCCAGAAAGACCCUCACAGACACACCUAGAAUAACGUUUGACCUAACAUCUGGGCACCUAAUGGCUCAGUCAAGUUGACACUUAAAAUUAACCAUCACAGACAAUAAAAGAGCCUUUUUAAACAUCAAGAAGAGGAGAGGGACAGACUCAUGCUUGGUGGCACGGUGACGACCAGUAUGCGAUAGGAAGGGAGACAGAUCUGGGGCAGGCAGAGAGGGCUGAAGCUGGAGUCUCCCCUGGGUUCCCAACUACUGACAGGACCAUGCCUGGUCCCCAGAUUUAAGUCUCCAGAGUAAAUCUGCUGAGCUGAAAAUGAGCUCCAACC
rnacentral:lncRNA from 1 species